GCCCGCGGACUCCCCUCCCGGGGGUGAACAAUCGGCCGGCCCCUGGCCAGGCCGUCCUGGGGUUGGCACCACCACCGACCCCCUGACCAAGGGCCUGGCGUGACCCCGGGGAGGAGAAGGGGGUCUCGGUCUCUUCCCACCGUCUGCCCCGAGAAACAUUUAACUGGCCUUUAAUCACAUUAGCAGCCGGCCCCAAUUAAGGCCGCGGGCGGGGGAGGCAGGGGAAACCGCCGGCCGUGUCACUUGAGGAUAAAGGUCCUUUAUGCCCCAGGCCUGGCCUGGGGCGACGCGGCGGGCCGCCGUCCCCAGCCUUUGAUUGCAGGCGCCUGGGCCUCGCCGCCGCCGCCAUCUCUUUGCCCCUUCAAACUAUCCCCGCCCCCGAUCCCCCUCCCCUGCCCCCACUGUGCCAUCGCCCUCGGGUGACCCGGUGGCCGGGCAGGACAGCGACCCAGGCCCGGACUCGAGCCCGCGCCCCCACGCCGGCCUGGACGGGCCCUCCUCCGGCCUGGGCCUGCGCCUGCGCGCUGGGAGCGCUCGAAGGGGCGGCUGCGGGGCUCACCGAGAGCCCUCGGGACGCGCCGCCUGCCCGCCGACGCCCAGCUCCCGGUCGGGACCCUGGUUUGGCGUGCUGCAGUUCACGGGGUUGCAGGGAGUCCGACACGACUAAGUGACUGAGCAACCAUAUAUAUUUAAGCACAUGAUGCUUGGAGGCACCGACCAUAGAAAGCUUUAAAACCUGGCCGAUAAACACCUCCGAAGGAGCAGAGGCCGUGCCUGCCCCACGGCAGUGUUUUCAUCUAAACUUCUUCUUCAUAUUUCUCACGUCAGCACCGUUUCGACUGAAGAUCUCAAGACCAUGAUGGACAGAGAAAAGCACCUUCCUUACGUGAAAAGUAUCAACUCGUUUCUGCUCUUCAGCAUUGUGGAGAAGAUUCUUUCCCCAUAUAGGUUAUUACACAAUACUGAGCAGCAUUCCUUGUGCUCCAUGAAGGUCCUGAAAAGACAACAUUUUUGAUGGAAGCUCUGAAGCAGGAUUAUGUGCUACAUUUUUAUAUGAUGUAUCAAAAGUGUUUCAUAUUUUUUCCCUCAAAGAGAGUGUCAGGUUAAAUUCUUCUGCAGCUCCUCCUGUCUGUACCGGAGGUGUCUUCAGUUACUUUGUCUUGAGGCUAAAGGGAUUUAAUGAGAGCUUACUUAAUGGUUGGGCCUGACACUCUUCUGAGGGCU
ensembl:lncRNA